rnacentral:lncRNA from 1 species
AUGGGUGCUGCCCGGGGUGGGGAGGUCUGGGGGUGCUGCCGGGGUGUCUCCCUACCCGCACGGCGGAUCCAGCCCUCGCCGGCUCCGGGGGGUGGAGGGGGGAGAAGCCCGGCGACAACAAAGGCGCUGCCGGGGCUGGGCUGGGCGCCGCCGGACCCUCUUGCCGGCGGAGGGGCCCUGUCGCCCCCCUUGAAGGCGGUGGGAAGGGGGGGCCCAGCCGAGGUGCCCUUCGCGGGCACGGCCACCCCUGGGAAGGGAAGGGGUCAUGCGGCUGGGGGGGAAGGUCGGGCCCUGGGUACUUUGUCGGGGGGAGUGGGGGAUAUUUGGGGGGGCCUGCACCCGCCCACCCCGGUCCUCCAGGCCUCGGGGGCCCGCCGGAGGCGGCUGCCAGAAGCUCGCCCUUGUCGGGGUGGGGGGAAGGGACGGACGGACGACUUUCUCUCUCUCUGUCGAAGGGCUUUUUUUAGGGACUGUGUUUUUGCGAGCCCCACCGGGGGGAUGGAGACGGCAGUGAGGACGCGGGGCUUCUUGCCCCCCUCGGCCGCCGUCCCGCAGCCGUGGGGCGAGGCGGAGGGGGGGGAUAGGCUGCCGUGGGGUGGGGACGCGCCUCCCCGUCCCCGCCGGGAGGGAGGGGAAGGGAAGAAGGGGGCGGCUGCCCGGCGGUCCCCAGCGCCGGGCGGCGGGGCGUGUUCCCCCCGCCGUGGGCAGCGCCAGGGCGCAUGUGCCGUGGAAAAUUUUGCGGCCCUGCCCCGCCGGGGGGGAAGCGCCGGGCCCGGCCGGUCGCGGGGCGCGACGGGAGAUGUAGUCCGGAGGCGAAGUAGGUCGCGGGGAGGGGAGGGGGGGCGAGGACUUCAACUCCCAGAGCGCCCCGCGGCGGCAGGGCUGGGGUGGGGGGGGAAGAGGCGAGGCCGUCCGGCCGGGUCACCAGAAAUGGCCGCCCUCCCGGGGAGGGGGAGGCUGGCCGCCUGCCUCGGGUGGGUCCCCGCGGGGCGGCUCGCCUCCCGUGAGAGGAGCCCCUCCGCCGCCCGUGGGUGGGAUUCGGCCGGGGGAUGUGUGUGUGUGUGCUGUGAAGGGGUCCUGUGUUCCCGACGGGCGUGGCCUGCCCUGGGAGCGCAGGCCGUCGUGGCCGCCCUCUUUCAAAGGCCGCAGGUGGGGGUCAGGCGGCAGCCAGCCGGUUCCCGGGGGGGGGUCAGACCUCGCAAGGUCACCCGCCGUGUUUGCGCAGCCAGGAGGAGAGGGCACGGUUCCCGUGUUUGCUCUCCUGUGAUGCAAGGGGUUAUUUGGCCCCUCUCCCUCCCUCUCUCUCUCCUUCAGCGCCUCGGUGUGCGGAUCGAGGAGGGGCACAGGGGAGCUCCUGCCUUCCCUCUGCGGAGCUGA